GAUGAACGCUGGCGGCGUGCCUAAUACAUGCAAGUCGAGCGAACAGACGAGGAGCUUGCUCCUCUGACGUUAGCGGCGGACGGGUGAGUAACACGUGGAUAACCUACCUAUAAGACUGGGAUAACUUCGGGAAACCGGAGCUAAUACCGGAUAAUAUAUUGAACCGCAUGGUUCAAUAGUGAAAGACGGUUUUGCUGUCACUUAUAGAUGGAUCCGCGCCGCAUUAGCUAGUUGGUAAGGUAACGGCUUACCAAGGCGACGAUGCGUAGCCGACCUGAGAGGGUGAUCGGCCACACUGGAACUGAGACACGGUCCAGACUCCUACGGGAGGCAGCAGUAUGGAAUCUUCCGCAAUGGGCGAAAGCCUGACGGAGCAACGCCGCGUGAGUGAUGAAGGUCUUCGGAUCGUAAAACUCUGUUAUUAGGGAAGAACAAAUGUGUAAGUAACUAUGCACGUCUUGACGGUACCUAAUCAGAAAGCCACGGCUAACUACGUG
rnacentral:rRNA from 1 species